GGAACCAUAUGCUCUUUGUCUUUCUAGGACUUGCGUAUUUCACUUAGCAUCAUGUCCUCCAGGUUCAUUCAUUGUCGUAGCAGGGUCGGAACUUCCUUCCUCUUUCGGCCUGAGUAAUGUUCUAUUGCAUGCAUAUGCCAUGUUUGGUUGAUCUGCUCACGUGUCAGUGGACACCUGGGUUGCUUCCCCAUUUUGACUCUUGUGAAUAAUGCUGUUUAUUUGGUUGCACAAAGAGAUUACUAAUUUCUAAGUGAAUUGCCUGAGGCCUGGAGCCACGGCCCACCGCUGAGGACAUCAGAGUGGUAUAAGAUGGACACCUGUUGUUGGAAAUAUCCGAUGACAUCCUGAGGGAUGGUGUUCUGAAGAUUUUCUCUCCUGGUGUAAACAGAGGAUGGUAUGUAACUCCAAGCUCCUUCAGAAAGUCGUCUGCAACCGGAACGGAGCUCUCAUGCAGCCUUAUGAGAUCGGUUGCUUAGGAACCGUUGGCUAAUCCCUCAUUGAUUUAACCAAUAAAUGAGGGAUGAGGUGGCAGCAGCACCUGGAAUUUUAGUGUUAGCUCAUCAAACCCCGAGGCCCUAUAUUUUUUAGUAAGUCGCUCAGGUUGUGGCUGCGAAGCUGUGUUAAGACAGAAAUCUAUUUUCUAAGAAGCGUUCAAACCAAGUCCAGGCCACUUGUCGCUGUGCCAGAAUAUUCUCUGUGCACAAAGGAGAUUGCAACUACUGGAUUCUCAAGUGAAAACUAGUUUGGUGGUUAGACUUGAGGUACUUAAGAAUGAUAAGACUGGGGAGGACAAGGGGAAAAUUCCGACAUCAGACCAAUAACAUGAACAAAAGAAGACAUAAGCAGAAGGGAAAAAGAAGAUGUAGCAACUGAUUUUUAUGGGACAAGAUGAAACAAUUGGGAAUACAAGUUCAUGACGCAUUCUCUACAAUCCCAAAGUCCAAAAACUGAGGGUGUUUUUUUUCUUUCUUUCUUCCUCUCAUUUGGUGGAAAACCUGACCUAAAACGGUCUGAGGCAAAUUAAGAUCUUUCUUCAUUCUUCGUAGGGUGACUGUUCAGAGUCUUUGCCAUAGAACUGUUAAUGAGUUAAAUUAUGAGGUACUAUCCUAGCGCCUGGGGCUGUGACAUGAAAUACGAUAUUUGCACUAUAUUACCUUCUCCCAAACUGAACAUUUCUGAAGCCUGAAACACAUUCGGCCUUGAAGGUUUUGAGUGAGAGGCUGUGGAUCUGUUCAGCAUACCCAAGAGGCAGAGAAAAACAUAGCUACCGAAAAUGACCGGAAAGGAGGACCUCAGAUUGCUUUCAGCAUGUUAUUUUAUCUGCAUGGUUCUCUCCUUGGGAAAUGAAACAACCUAGUGAUAAUUAGAUGCACUCCUUUGCUUGUUUUCUGGAUGGAAAGGGUUCAGAGGCGUGUUAUUUUCCUGUGGCACAGAGAACCGAGCCGAAGUGUGGGACAAAGGGAAUGACAAAGGAAACGGAGCUGAGCCCCGGGGUCCGUCAGUGUGUGGCCCUGCAGGGACAAACUGGGGUUCCCUCCGCCCCGCUGCACAGGUGCAGUUUGCAGCGUAGGGCGCAGGCCUGGGUGUGAGCGUGCACACACGUACAUGGAGCUGACGGCUGGAGGCCAGAUGACAAACCAGCGCAUCGCUUGUCGCAGGACCCAUGCUCAAGUUUCUAGCUGAGGGAAAGGAAUGCCGAGAGCUCUCGGUUCUAAAGGAAAGUUCUAGACUCGUCGAUGCAGUUAAAAUAGGACCAGGUCAAUCCAACAACUGCCAACUGCAGGCUUGAUGAGGAGGCUGGAGUUUCCCUGAGAAGAAGUCUUCGGAAGGAACUCCUGGACACAGAGUACGGUGGGGGCUCUGCUCCACGACAGAGCCGAGUGGAGAGAGCGCUUCCUCUGCCCGCCUUCCCUGCUACCUCAGGCCACAGGGAGGUUGAGGGAGCCUCCACAGAAGGCUUCACAGAGACUGAGGUUAGCUCUCAGCAGCUCACUUUGUUGCCAAAUGCUCAUUGAGCUGGGGAGACAACACUCAGGCCUGGCCCAUGCUGCUACCAGAGCAGACAGUUCUGGAGAGAGUGUGUCAGGUGUCCCUGGACGUGUGGGGUACACCUGAGCAGGGAGACGUAACCAGCCAAGAGAGGGGAGAGAAGGCACCCAUGGGAGCUGGCCACCAAGGACAGAUGGCAGGGCAAGGAACGUUCCCACAGAGGGAAAUGGGGCACAUGUCAUCCUAAAGGAUCCUGCCCAGGAGAGGUUUUUAGCUGUAGGUGUUAUCAGAAAUGCAAGACUAUGGGUGGCUGGGUGGCUCAGUGGGUUAAAGCCUCUGCCUUUAUCUCAGGCCAUGAUCCCAGGGUUCUGAGAUCGAGCCCCACAUCGGGCUUUCUGCUCAGCAGGGAGCCUGCUUCCCCCUCUCUCUCUGCCUGCCUUUCUGCCUACUUAUGAUCUCUGUCAAAUAAAUACACAAAAUCUUUAAGAAAAAAAAAGAAGAAGAAGAAGUGCAGGACUAGAAGAUUGGUCGAAACAGACCAGCCCUGGGGUACAGCUCACUAAAGGGAAAGCAAGGAAUUGAAAGUCUUUUAAAACAGAAGGCCCAGGGCACCUGGGUAGCUCAGUCAGUGAAGCAUCUGCCUUUGACUCAGGGUCAUGAUCUCAGGGUCCUGGGAUCGAGCCCCGCAUCAGGCUCUCUGCUCAGUGGGGAGCCUGCUUCUCCCUCUCCCUGCGGCAUUGCCUACUUGUGUUCUUUCUCUCUGUGUGUCAAAUAAAUAAAUAAAAUCUUUUAGAAAAUUAAAUUAAAUAAAACAGAAGGCCUACAGGGAGGGCUCUUUGCCUCUGUCCCUGUGCCCCUGCUCCUUCCUGUACCAAACAUGGAGGCAGAGGGUGGGGGAGGGGCUGAAGUGAAAAACCAGACCCAGAUUCCUCUUCUUUCCUCACCUUCUGGUUCCCUGGGCUGCAGGCUGGGCCCAAACAGUAAGGGAGCAGAGGUUGCUGGUCGUGCCGGCUGAAAUCUGUCCAUCUAAUGGUCUUUCCUGGCUGGGACACAGUGUGCUAGAUCAAUGAUUCACUUUUUUUCCUCAAUCCUGGAAAAUUCUCUCUCUCCUCUCUGGCUGUAAUUCUGAUGCGGUGUCUCAUCCCUCUCUCUUAUCACCUCUUUAAUAUCUUCGACAUCCUUUCGUUCCAGGUAAUCAGGUACAAACCUUCAUUUAUGGUUCUUCCUCCAACUGUCUAAUCCCCUAUUUGACCCUUCCGUUACGUUUUUAUUGGAACUCUUAUGGUAUUUUUCUCAUUUCUAGAAUUUUGAUUUUUAAAAUUUCACCUUACUCUUCCUAAUCAUGUCUUGCUGAUAAUCUUCAUGGCUGAAUUUUUUUAUUUCUUGUAUCACCGAUCCGUAGCAAGUCUGUCUUCUCUGACAACUCCAAUGGCCACUGCCCCUGGCCGUCUAUAUCUGCUGUCCCUUGUUUCUACUCACUCUGACUCACAGUGCCUUGCUCUCUUGGAUUUGGUUACCUCGGACCAUGAGGCCACUGCUUGAUCUUAAUCUGUGUGGAUACUGUGGGCUUACAACCCGGACGGGGAGUGCGGACUCUCUCCUGCAGAGCACUUGCUUUGUCUUCUGCCAGAAGACAGGGAGCAUCACUCAUUGUUUUCAGCUCUUGUGGGAAGGACAGGCUCAUUGCGGGAGGGGGGUGCGGGGGGGGGUGGUGGUCUCUUUCCUGACCUUUGUCUGGCUCCAUUUCUCCAUAACAUUGCUGUUACCAGCAAUUCCCUACAGACGAGCCAUACCCCCAACCUCCCCACCCCCCCGCCCCUGCCGCAGAAUCCCCUACCCAGCUAGUUGUUGCUCUGUGAGCCCAGCAGUGUGUCCACUGCUGUGUCUUUUCCAGGCUUUGUCGUCUCUUAGGGGGAUGGUUCCUUGUAGCUCCUAGGCUCUAGUCCCCACGUUUAUAAUGAUAAAGAAAUAUUUUAAACAUAUGGAUACAUCUUAGCACAAAUUCCUCCAGACAAAACCAUGGUAUUCUUGUCUUUGCUAUUGAUGGUCACUGCUAUUUCGUGUGACUGGGGGCAAGUGGCUUGUCUUUGAAGCCAGAGGUUUCUCAUCUGUAAGUGGGGAUGUAGAUACCCACUCGCUAGAGUAAUAAAAUGGCUAGAGUAAA